GCGUUACGUAGGGGGGAGGACAAGAAUCUACAGGUCGAGCAAGUCUCGUAAAUUUCACGAUUGCGAGCCACGCUUCACGCAACCGUGUUUGCGUACUUGUGUUUCGAGUUGCGUGGUCGUGCGGAGUUAUAUUUACCAAAUUUAAAUCCGUUCCAACAUGCUGUCAAAAUUAAAUCAAUAUGUCAAUAUGGCUACUGGGUGUAAAAGAUAAAUCUUAUUCUAUCUGUUCUUAAUGAGUUUUAGAUAAUUUUAGUUGUAUUUCUUUGUAAUUUUGUGUUGUACAAAGAUUAAUUUAACAUUUUCUCUGGAAGUAUUAAUUUAGGAAGAUAAUAUGCUUCAUUGGUGUUGUGUUUUGAAGUGUGAAAUGCAAAGUAAUUGUGAUAAAGUCGAGAUAAAGUUCACUUUUAAACUGAACUAAAUAAGGUAUCUGAGAGACAACAAUGGUUAAAUGCAAUACAAUGUACAGGUUUUACUAGCGAAAUGAAAAUUUUCCUGUCCUGUCUGCUGUAAUCAUUUUAUAUCUGGAAAACCAGCCGACUUAAUCGAUAAUAACAAUCUCCAGAUUGGGUUUCUUCAAUAAAUAUGGGCUAUAAACACAAUGAAAUAAGUUCCCCAAAAUCUAAAAUGGAGUGGUAUCAAAGGAGAAUUAAAGGAAAAAAUAUUCAUAUUGAAAUUAUUUAUAAGGCACUGGACUGUCUUAAAUUCUACAAUAAUACUAGAAUCAGCUGAGAGAAGUGGUCUACAAAAAACCAGGAAGGAAACGGAAUAUGUGGCUACGAAAGGCAAAAGAAAGGUUUACAAAGCAAAUGUGACACAUUUUUUUGAAAUAUUUAGGAAUAUCAGUAAAUUGCAUUAAAAGAAUGUAUGAAAAGAUUUUGUUCAAUAAAAAUGUUUAUAUUUA